GGGAGCCGGAUGAGGUGCGAGCCUCAUGUCCGGUUCUACGAGAGCCUCGGGGCGAAAUUCCCCGAGGCUACUCACC
rfam:Burkholderia sp. OLGA172 chromosome 2, complete sequence.